UGUCUCAUGGUGUAAUGGUAGCACAACAGGUUUUGGUUCUGUUUGUAGAGGUUCGAAUCCUCUUGAGACAACAA
rnacentral:tRNA from 6 species